UCUCCCUUGAUAUCAGUCUAUCAUUGCCCCCCACCAGUGCCAUAUUCAUAUUUAAGACUAAAUACUAUCAUCUUAUCUGUCUAAAAACUUUUGAAGCAUAUCUCUAAGGCAGGCUAGCCAUGCUUCUUCCUUAAGGAAUUCCAGAGACUCAUUGGCACUGAUUGUCCUACGCCUUCUGCCGAGAUUGGUCGAUGUUGUGUUGUUCGAGGUUCCUGGAGAGUCAUUCAAAACCCCAAUAUCUUCCACCACAUUGGCAGCAUCCCUUGUACUUGGCAGUGACAAAGACGAAUGCAAAUUCUCAGGAGGCGUACUAAUGGAAUGUCUGGUUCGAUACACAUCGUCAAAUUCUUCAAGAAACCCCCAAGCACUUGCAGCACGCCCUGUUAAGCUAUUUCGCUUUUUAAUUCUUUUAUAUGUGCAGAAGAGAUUCACAAAUUUACGGGAAAUCUCAUCCCGUGAUAAAUUAAA